AUUGAACGCUGGCGGCAGGCCUAACACAUGCAAGUCGAGCGGAGCGGCGGACGGGUGAGUAAUGCCUAGGAGUCUUCCUGGUAGUGGGGGAUAACGUCCGGCAGCGGGCGCUAAUACCGCAUACUGUCCCAUGAGCCUAGGUCGGGUUAGCUAGUUGGUGGGGUAAAGUCCUACCAAGGCGACGAGCCGUACCUGUUCUGAGAGGAUGAUCAGUCACACUGGAACUGAGACACGGUCCAGACUCCGACGGGAGGCAGCAGUGGGGAACAUUGGACAAUGGGGGAAAGCCUGAUCCAGCCAUGCCGCGUGUGUGAAGAAGGUUUUCGGAUUGUAAAGCACUUUAAGUUGGGAGGCGUUACCAACAGAAUAAGCACCGGCUAACUUCGUGCCAGCAGCCGCGGUAAUUC
rnacentral:rRNA from 1 species